ACCUCAAGGUGACAACAGGUGCAAGAGCCCACUGGACAGGGAUGCCACUGCAAUGAGACCAUAGCAAGCAGGCAGGACAGGUUUGAAGACAGCACUGACUACAUCUAAAGAAAGAAUUUAUUAAGCUUUGUCAAAACUGUGGGAGCAACGAUGGGGACAUGAAUCCAUUUAUAUAAUUAAUUUUUAAUCUGCGUGAUCGCCUGGUGAGGUUGUUUAGCAAUACCACAACACCCUCAGGUAAAAUCAGGAGGUGGAUGAUGGCGGGCUGCUCCUUCGGGCCCCUCAAGAAGUCUGUGCUUGGAGCCAGGAUCAGAACUGAAGGCUCCUGGCUGCACACGCAGCUCCAGCCCAGGUAUUACACAUGUCUCUGAUGUCUCCCAGCCUUUGGAUGUAAAAGGAUAAACUUCAGGCAAAGCAGAGCAAAAGAAAUGAGAUGAGAAUAAGCAUGCCAUGUCCUGGAGAGCCAUGGGGUUUCCGCUCAUUCUACGAAGUGUUUGGUGGGGUGAAAGUUAGCUGGGAGCCUUGGUGGAUGGGAGCCUCUCUGUCUUGGAAAUUCAGUAUAAAACAAACCCAUCUUGCACCCCUGGACACCUGCAAGCUAAAGGACUAUGAAGAUGUCUACAUUUGCCUGAAAAGGAGUAACCCUUGCUUUGGAAGAUGAUUCCUUUUAGAAGAGUAAGUGGAAGCAUAGAGCACCCUGCCUCUGCCACUCCCUGUCUUGUCACCCUGCCUGGGAAGCACGGGCUACCCACAUGAAGAGUGGACCACGAGGGUGAAACAUUCCACCACACAUCUGAGAUGACAGAAAGGAAAAAGGUAAGGAAGAAAACAAGACUUCUCUGCUCUAGCCACCCACUGCUCCUUGAGAUAAGUCCUACAGGUGGUGAAUUCAUUGUUUAAAUGUAAAAUAGUCAUAAUGACGUGGCCAGCAGUACUUUCCACUUAUAUACUCCACUCUAUACACACACACACACAAUUUUAAUUUUAAAGUCAGAUUGUGUAACACGUAGAAAUCAAGACCAGAGAAUUUCACAAUAUACUCAGAUUUUUAAAAGAGCCUCUUUUCUUCUCCUGAAUUCCAGAAAGAAAAAAAGAAACAAAAACAAAAAAACACCAUGAAUUUGGAGGUUAUCUAUCUAUUUGCUCUAAUAUUUUAGUUCCUGGUCCGACAGAACUGAAGAAAAAUAAUUGGACUGACUUAGUUCAGACAACAAGUUUUAGUCCAAUUAUCAGAAGGAAUGAAAUCUGACUACAUUUUUUUUUCCUUUACAGGUAGUGGGCUUGCAAUGUGGUGCAUAGCUCUGGCUAAAGUCUACUCAAAUCCAUUAAAGCCAGUAAGCCACUAAAUCACUAGUAAAAGGAACUUCAAAUGUCUACCAAUAUAAAGAUCACUUGAACUUUUUAAAAAAAAUUAUUCAGCCACACCUCUACUUCUGCUUUGAUGUGAAAGGCAGUGAAGCAGAAGACGUUUCCUUUCUGUCAGAGGAUUUUUCACCUAAAAGUCACCACCAUGCUGGUGACUAAUACUUGGUUCUUAGCUCAUCCUUUGCUUUAAUUUUCUCUAAUGAUAGAGAAAUAACAAAGUGUAAGACAAGCAGAAAAUUGGGGAGGGGGGAUGGUUGUCUUUAUGUGUAUGUAUGUGUGUUUGUGUUUGACCUUACUUUCAGGAUAAAUUACCCCAAAACUCUGUUGCCCAAAUAUUUUUGUGUUACCUAAAAUGAACAAUACUAUAUGAA